rnacentral:rRNA from 1 species
UGGGGAAUAUUGCACAAUGGAGGAACUCUGAUGCAGCGACGCCGCGUGGAGGAAGAAGGUCUUCGGAUUGUAAACUCCUGUUGUUGGGGAAAUAAGGAUGGUACCCAACAAGGAAGUGACGGCUAACUACGUGCCAGCAGCCGCGGUAAAACGUAGGUCACAAGCGUUGUCCGGAAUUACUGGGUGUAAAGGGAGCGCAGGCGGGUAUGCAAGUUGGAAGUGAAAUACAUGGGCUCAACCCAUGAACUGCUUUCAAAACUGUGUAUCUUGAGUAGUGCAGAGGUAGGCGGAAUUCCCGGUGUAGCGGUGGAAUGCGUAGAUAUCGGGAGGAACACCAGUGGCGAAGGCGGCCUACUGGGCACCAACUGACGCUGAGGCUCGAAAGUGU